GUGUCCACGUACCAGGACCUUCCUCCAACAGCUUCUUUCUCAUCUAUUCCCUCCUCUCUUUCCCUCUCAGCCAUAAGAGCAAGCUAGUGAAGAAAAGCUUGUGGAGUUGAACUUUUUGCUGUUGGAGCUAAGAAGAAAAACUGUGGAGCUGAAGGGAAGGUUUGUGGAGUUGAAGAGACCCCUGGGGAAACCUCAAAUCCAGGGUGGAGAGGAGCUGCCGAGCAGGAUGUUUGGGCUAUUGGAGCUGAGAGCAAUCAGGUGGAACAUCAAAGUAAGGUUGAGUAUCUUGGGACUAUGAAGUGUGUCCGAGCAAGGAAACCCAGCUAAAGAAGCUUGAAACUUGAAGUAAAAGAAACCUAAGUGGUGGCUGCUGCCUUUGUGGAUUUCUGGGCGCCCGAAUUGGAAAGAGAACCUGGUGGAGCUUCCUUGGGUGUUCCGAAUUGAAAGGGGAUUUGAGGAGUUGGCAGCUUGCUAGGUGAUUGAACUGGGAGGAGCAUCCGAACAAGAACCCAAGCUGAUUAACCAUUGAAACUUGAGGAAAAGUGGACACGCUCGAAAGUUCGAAGUGACAUUCCGACAGAUCUACGGCGCACUAAUUACGAUAGACGUCGUUCUAGCUUUAUUCGCAUCGAGUCACGAGGACUUGAUACUUGUGAGCUCCAAGAUAUUGAUUCUAACAUUUCGGCAUUUCUACAGGUGGGUGAUGCUAUCCGAAAUCUUCAAAUCUCUCUUUAUGCCCAUGUCGCCUUAUUGAGCAUACAUAUAUAUGAAUUGUAGUGUAUUCAUGCAUAUAGGGUAAAUGUCAUUAUAAUGUAAUGGGCAAUUGAAUAUGUACCAAUGUAAAGGACAUGUGAACAAUAGAAAUAUGGACAUAGAACCCUAUGAACGCGUGAAUUUAUUGUGGACCAUGACAAUAGUGAAUUGGUGACAUUAUGAUUAGAGUAUUGGUUAGCAUCGAGACUUGGAAUUAUAAACUAGCAUAAAGAGCUAGUUAAUGGUUAAAGUGUGGCAUUGUCAUUUGUUAAAUCCUCUAAGUAAGGAUUAGAUCAUACUCACAUUAGUCUAAUGCUCGAGGAAGGUCGCUCCUCCUUGGGCGAUGUGCUCCGGAGUUGUCAUCAACUAGGUUGGUAGCGGAAUUCUCCCCAGUCGACGGUCAUGUCGGGUUGUAGCAGAAUUCUCCCCGAUAUUAGGAAUUUUGUGGUGAGUUAUUGUUAACCAAAUGGUUAACCAGUUUGAUUGGGUAAACAUUAUCAGCGGCAUGCAUGCAUCAAUUUCAUAUAUUUUCUACUGUUUAUUUCAGCUUUGUACAGGCAUUGCAGUAGUUUCAUGUUAUAGCUGGUUACUAUCUGCUCUCUUUUCUUGCCUACAUAUGCCUGAAUAGACCUAGUGGGUGAGUCGGCGAGGUCAGUGGCCGAACCCACUGGGAACUUUUAGUAAUUCUCACACCACCAACCAUCCAGAUCCUAGCGCGAGCAGAGCGGCCGAGAAUCGCGGCAAGGACCUGGCAUUUUAGCCAGUAAACACCAGAGUUUAGUGGUAUACCAUUUUGGUUUCAUGUUGUAUAUAUUUGAUGUUAAUGAAACAUGUAAAGAAUGUGUAAGUGAGCAUGUAAAUAACUAAAUGGUGUAGUUAUUCAGGUUUAUACUUUGGUUUAAAGUUGUUUCAAAAAUACAA